GACGAACGCUGGCGGCGUGCUUAACACAUGCAAGUCGAACGGAAAGGCCCUGCUUUUGUGGGGUGCUCGAGUGGCGAACGGGUGAGUAACACGUGAGUAACCUGCCCUUGACUUUGGGAUAACUUCAGGAAACUGGGGCUAAUACCGGAUAGGAGCUCCUGCUGCAUGGUGGGGGUUGGAAAGUUUCGGCGGUUGGGGAUGGACUCGCGGCUUAUCAGCUUGUUGGUGGGGUAGUGGCUUACCAAGGCUUUGACGGGUAGCCGGCCUGAGAGGGUGACCGGCCACAUUGGGACUGAGGUACGGCCCAGAGUCCUACGGGAGGCAGCAGUGGGGAAUAUUGCACAAUGGGCGGAAGCCUGAUGCAGCAACGCCGCGUGCGGGAUGACGGCCUUCGGGUUAUAAACCGCUUUCGCCUGUGACGAAGCGUGAGUGACGGUAAUGGGUAAAGAAGCACCGGCUAACUACGUG
rnacentral:rRNA from 1 species